GACGAACGCUGGCGGCGUGCUUAACAUAUGCAAGUCGAGCGGUAAGGCCCUUUCGGGGGUACACGAGCGGCGAACGGGUGAGUAACACGUGGGUGACCUGCCCUCAGCUCUGGGAUAAGCCUGGGAAACUGGGUCUAAUACUGGAUAUGACUCCACGGUGCAUGUCGUGGGGUGGAAAGCCUUGUGCGGCUGAGGAUGGGCCCGC
rnacentral:rRNA from 1 species